rnacentral:rRNA from 1 species
CUUACGACCAGGGCUACACACGUGCUACAAUGGCGCAUACAAAGAGAAGCGACCUCGCGAGAGCAAGCGGACCUCAUAAAGUGCGUCGUAGUCCGGAUUGGAGUCUGCAACUCGACUCCAUGAAGUCGGAAUCGCUAGUAAUCGUGGAUCAGAAUGCCACGGUGAAUACGUUCCCGGGCCUUGUACACACCGCCCGUCACACCAUGGGAGUGGGUUGCAAAAGAAGUAGGUAGCUUAACCUUCGGGAGGGCGCUUACCACUUUGUGAUUCAUGACUGGGGUGAAGUCGUAACAAGGUAACCGUAGGGGAACCUGCGGUUGGAUCACCUCCUUACCUUAAAGAAGC